rnacentral:rRNA from 1 species
UACAGAGGUCUCAAGCGUUGUUCGGAUUCAUUGGGCGUAAAGGGUGCGUAGGCGGCGCGGUAAGUCGGGUGUGAAAUCUCGGAGCUUAACUCCGAAACUGCAUUCGAUACUGCCGUGCUUGAGGACUGGAGAGGAGACUGGAAUUCAUGGUGUAGCAGUGAAAUGCGUAGAGAUCAUGAGGAAGACCAGUGGCGAAGGCGGGUCUCUGGACAGUUCCUGACACUGAGGCACGAAGGCCAGGGGAGCAAACGGGAUUA